UCAGGCCUAACACAUGCAAGUCGAACGGUAGAGGGGCAACCCUUGAGAGUGGCGAACGGGUGAGUAAUGCAUCGGAACGUGCCCAGUAGUGGGGGAUAGCCCGGCGAAAGCCGGAUUAAUACCGCAUGAGACCUGAGGGUGAAAGCGGGGGAUCGCAAGACCUCGCGCUAUUGGAGCGGCCGAUGUCAGAUUAGCUAGUUGGUGGGGUAAAGGCCUACCAAGGCGACGAUCAGUAGCUGGUCUGAGAGGACGACCAGCCACACUGGAACUGAGACACGGUCCAGACUCCUACGGGAGGCAGCAGUGGGGAAUUUUGGACAAUGGGGGCAACCCUGAUCCAGCAAUGCCGCGUGAGUGAAGAAGGCCCUCGGGUUGUAAAGCUCUAUUGUCAGGGAAGAAAAGGCUGGGCUAAUAUCCACAGCUG
rnacentral:rRNA from 1 species